AUGUGGGAAUGGUGGAAUGUAAGGAACAAGGCCAAUGCGGGGGAGGUGGUUCCAAAUGCCCAAACUAUUUGCCACAGAGUGGAAAGCCUGGGAGUGGAUUUCUUGAUGCUCAGGGUGCCAGAUAAGCCACCAAAACCACCUGACCUUAGCAGAUGGGUUAAACCCCCUGAGAACUUUGUGAAAGUGAACUUUGAUGGGGCUUUUUCCCAGAUUAGUGGUUCUGGAGGAUGGGGCUAUGUCAUUCGCGAUCAGGCGGGCGUUUUCGUUGCUGCUGGCGCGGGUAAUUCAGUGCACUUGAGGUCUCCUCUGCACUCUGAAGCUGUUGCUUGUCUCGCUGCUAUCGAUGGCGCCAUCAGGGUGGGCGCAAACAAGAUCAUCUUUGAGUCUGAUGCUUCAGUCUUGGUACAAGCGCUCAACAGCUAUGACUAUGACAAGUCAACGAUUGGUGUGCUGGUGAAAGAAGCUAGGAGUUUAAGUAUUUUAAACUUUGUUUCCUUUAAUUUCUCAUUUGGCCGGCGGGCUUGUAACGUGGUUGCUCAUGAGUUGGCAAGGUUUGGUGUGAGUUGUGAGAAUGCAGACUCAUUCUGGGAGGGUGACGCUCCUCCACGUAUCCUGAACAUUAUUGCUAGCGAUCUGGCUGAAGUUUAA
rnacentral:rRNA from 1 species